CUGAAGUUCUGUGCAGACCGAAAGAAAGCAAAGCUGAAGAUUGGUACCCUUGCUAUAUGGGAAGCAUUUUUUGAGGCCAAUGUAACGAACAAUGACAACAAGACUGUGACAUCACCAAUGAAUGGAAUUUUGGAGAGAGUAGGACAGAAGGAAGGAGGUCCAUCAAUGACAGUGGAUCAGAUAAUAAGUGUAUUGAAUGAUCUGAAGUGCAUUUCUACCACUAGGGACCCAGAACAAUUCACUUUCGGUAAGACUUGUAUUUAACUAUUUGUUGUACAUGAACUGGAGACUGGACUGUUGUAUCACUGUAUACAUGAAUUGUCUGGUUCUCUG